rnacentral:lncRNA from 1 species
GGGUGGAUCCCUCACUAGUAUGUUGAAGCUCUCCUCACAUGGUGGAUUUUUGGUUUAGGUUGAGUUUUCUCCCAUGGACUAUAAGUCUUCCAUACUUAUUAUAGGGUGGAUCCCUCACUAGUAUGUUGAAGCUCUCCUCACAUGGUGGAUUUUUGGUUUAGGUUGAGUUUUCUCCCUUUGAUAACAAAAGACCUUAAGGCUAUUGACAAAUCAAUUCACC